rnacentral:rRNA from 1 species
UACGAAGGGGGCUAGCGUUGCUCGGAAUCACUGGGCGUAAAGGGUGCGUAGGCGGGUCUUUAAGUCAGGGGUGAAAUCCUGGAGCUCAACUCCAGAACUGCCUUUGAUACUGAAGAUCUUGAGUUCGGGAGAGGUGAGUGGAACUGCGAGUGUAGAGGUGAAAUUCGUAGAUAUUCGCAAGAACACCAGUGGCGAAGGCAGGUCUCUGGGCCGAUACUGACGCUGAGACGCGAAAGCGUGGGGAGCGAACAGG